CGGAGCUUGCUCCACCGAAAGAAAAAGAGUGGCGAACGGGUGAGUAACACGUGGGUAACCUGCCCAUCAGAAGGGGAUAACACUUGGAAACAGGUGCUAAUACCGUAUAACACUAUUUUCCGCAUGGAAGAAAGUUGAAAGGCGCUUUUGCGUCACUGAUGGAUGGACCCGCGGUGCAUUAGCUAGUUGGUGAGGUAACGGCUCACCAAGGCAACGAUGCAUAGCCGACCUGAGAGGGUGAUCGGCCACACUGGGACUGAGACACGGCCCAGACUCCUACGGGAGGCAGCAGUAGGGAAUCUUCGGCAAUGGACGAAAGUCUGACCGAGCAACGCCGCGUGAGUGAAGAAGGUUUUCGGAUCGUAAAACUCUGUUGUUAGAGAAGAACAAGGAUGAGAGUAAAAUGUUCAUCCCUUGACGGUAUCUAACCAGAAAGCCACGGCUAACUACGUGCCAGCAGCCGCGGUAAUACGUAGGUGGCAAGCGUUGUCCGGAUUUAUUGGGCGUAAAGCGAGCGCAGGCGGUUUCUUAAGUCUGAUGUGAAAGCCCCCGGCUCAACCGGGGAGGGUCAUUGGAAACUGGGAGACUUGAGUGCAGAAGAGGAGAGUGGAAUUCCAUGUGUAGCGGUGAAAUGCGUAGAUAUAUGGAGGAACACCAGUGGCGAAGGCGGCUCUCUGGUCUGUAACUGACGCUGAGGCUCGAAAGCGUGGGGAGCGAACAGGAUUAGAUACCCUGGUAGUCCACGCCGUAAACGAUGAGUGCUAAGUGUUGGAGGGUUUCCGCCCUUCAGUGCUGCAGCAAACGCAUUAAGCACUCCGCCUGGGGAGUACGACCGCAAGGUUGAAACUCAAAGGAAUUGACGGGGGCCCGCACAAGCGGUGGAGCAUGUGGUUUAAUUCGAAGCAACGCGAAGAACCUUACCAGGUCUUGACAUCCUUUGACCACUCUAGAAAUAGAGCUUCCCCUUCGGGGGGCAAAAUGACAGGUGGGUGCAUGGUUG
rnacentral:rRNA from 1 species